rnacentral:rRNA from 1 species
CCUACGGGCGGCAGCAGUGGGGAAUAUUGGGCAAUGGUCGCAAGCCUGACCCAGCAACGCCGCGUGAAGGAAGAAGGCCCUCGGGGUGUAAACUUCUUUUAUCAAGGACGAAACAAAUGACGGUACUUGAUGAAUAAGCCACGGCUAACUACGUGCCAGCAGCCGCGGUAAAACGUAGGUGGCAAGCGUUAUGCGGAUUUAAUGGGUGUAAAGGGCGUGUAGGCGGGACUGAAAGGCAGGCGGGAAAACCAUGGGGCUAACCCAUGGCCUGCAUUUGAAACUGUAGUUCUUGAGUGUUGGAGAGGCAGGCGGAAUGCGGGGUGUAGCGGUGAAAUGCGUAGAUAUACGGCGGAACACCAGUGGCGAAGGCGGCCCGCUGGACUAUAACUGACGCUGAGGCGCGAAAGCGUGGGGAGCAAACAGGAUUAGAUACCCCAGUAGUC